UACGAAGGGGGCGAGCGUUGUUCGGAUUUACUGGGCGUAAAGGGCGCGUAGGCGGCAUGCCAAGCGUGUGGUGAAAGCCCGGGGCUCAACCCCGGGUCGGCCGUGCGGACUGGCGUGCUCGAGCACUGUAGGGGCGGGUGGAAUUCCGGGUGUAGCGGUGGAAUGCGUAGAGAUCCGGAAGAACACCGGUGGCGAAGGCGGCCCGCUGGGCAGGAAGGCUCGCAAGAGCCGGCUGACGCUGAGGCGCGACAGCGUGGGGAGCAAACAGG
rnacentral:rRNA from 1 species